GAUUUCCCUUUGGGUGAAAGAAGGGGCAGGGGGACCGCAGGACGGGAAAUCAUAGAAGAUGCUGGCCUGGGAUCCGGGAGACAAGGAGGAGGAGAGGCCGGGGGAGGGGAACAGCCUGGGAGGCAAUCUGUUCUGAAGCAAGCAAGGAGCAAGCGGGGAUUCCAGGAGGAGGGAGGGAGACCCGCGUCUGCCGCAGAUUGAUGGCUGUGUCCUUGGAACGGAAGGGAAUUUGGCCUCCACCUGCUGAACACAGAACUGCGCUGAGGAAGGCACUGGCUUGGAGAAGAUGCCAGAGCUCUGCCAGCUGACACUCAGCCUGCACCUUCAGGACUCAUGACUUCUUCUGGCCCC
rnacentral:lncRNA from 1 species